rnacentral:tRNA from 1 species
AGCAGCGUGGCUCAGUGGAAAGAGCACGGGCUUGGGAGUCAGAGGUCACGGGUUCAAAUCCUGGCUCUGCCA